GUGGCGCGCGCCGAGCGGGGGGCGCCGCGCGGUGCAGCCACGAUGGAAGGGGGUGCGUACGGAGCGGGCAAAGCCGGGGGCGCCUUCGACCCCUACACCCUGGUGCGACAGCCACAUACCAUCCUGCGCGUCGUGUCUUGGGUCUUCUCCAUUGUGGUCUUCGGCUCCAUUGUGAAUGAGGGCUACCUGAACAACCCGGAGGAGGAGGAGGAGUUCUGCAUCUACAACCGAAACCCCAAUGCCUGCAGCUACGGCGUGACCGUGGGCGUGUUGGCCUUCCUCACCUGCCUGGUCUACCUGGCGCUUGAUGUGUACUUCCCGCAGAUCAGCAGUGUCAAGGACCGCAAGAAAGCCGUGCUGUCUGACAUCGGUGUCUCGGUGGCAAGUCUCCAAGCCCAAGGACAACCCUCUGAACGAAGGGACAGACGCAGCCCGGGCUGCCAUCGCCUUUUCGUUCUUCUCCAUUUUCACGUGGAGCCUGACUGCAGCCCUGGCCGUACGCAGAUUCAAGGACCUUACCUUCCAGGAGGAAUACAACACACUGUUCCCUGCCUCAGCACAACCAUAGUCCCUG
rnacentral:lncRNA from 1 species